AAAAUUAAUCUAUGCUCCUCCCAUAAGAAAUCCUGAAUAACACUAGGGAGGACUGCAUAAUGACUUUUUUUUUAAAAUGCCAAUAACAACUCUUUUUCAUAAAAAAUGCUCGGAGCUUACGGUUGAUGAAAACAUUGUUCGGAGUUUAUAAAGUUUUUAGACAUUAUAUACCAUUGACUUAUAUAUUGGUUAAAUGUAAACAUCGAAACAAGAUAUUAACGAUCUCAAUUGUUCUUUUUUUUGCAUCAGCUAAAAGAUCAUAUUUUCAAAAAAUAAAAUCUGAAAAACGAAAUCCGGUGAGAAUAAUAGAACGUAAACGACAAUCGACAGUUAAAUAUAAAUCUAGGGUACAUAGAUUAUGGUGUCGAAUUUCGGAGUUGACCCCUUUACCAAAGUUGCAAAACUUGUCAUUGCGAGUGAUUUUUUUAUUUUUCACACUUCUAUAUUAAUUAUUAGUAAUUUUUAAUAAUUUUUCACUCAAACAAAAAAGCUACAAUUCAUGAGGGUUUGUAAGGUUUUAAAAAUUUAAAUGAGGGUGUAACUAUCAAAAAGCAUAGAGGGUGCAAUCACAAGCAUUUGUAUAUUUUUCACACUUGUACAUUACUCAUUAUGAUUUUAUUUAUUUAUUUUGAACUCUCUUAAAAAUACUAUUCACGAGGGUUUGUACGGUUUAAAAAAUCCAAACAACCAUAUACCAAUUGUCAAAGUAUAGAAGAUGCGAUCAUGAGUGUUUACGUAUUUUUUUUUCACAUUUGUAAAUUAAUUAUUAUGAAUUUUUUAAUGUGCUUUGGAACUUUUUGAUUUGACUUAUGUAAGAUUAAAUACUAUGGCUAAGGUUCUUAUGUAGUUUAAAAUUGUCAAACUAACUUUUUUUUUCUUAACGGGUUAAAACAAGCUACCCACAGGUAAAUCUAUUAAGCACCCGUUAUUAACCGAAUCUUAACGAGUGACCCAAUAACAACUCCAUUAGUUAACGUGUUCACCUAAAACCUGUUAUUUUCGUGUCAUUUAGGUUCAGAUUAACAGGUCCUGUAAGAAAUUGUCAGGUCUAAUGAU
rnacentral:lncRNA from 1 species